GACGAACGCUGGCGGCGUGCCUAAUACAUGCAAGUUGAGCGAUGAAGAUUGGUGCUUGCACCAAUUUGAAGAGCAGCGAACGGGCGAGUAACGCGUGGGGAAUCUGCCUUUGAGCGGGGGACAACAUUUGGAAACGAAUGCUAAUACCGCAUAACAACUUUAAACAUAAGUUUUAAGUUUGAAAGAUGCAAUUGCAUCACUCAAAGAUGAUCCCGCGUUGUAUUAGCUAGUUGGUGAGGUAAAGGCUCACCAAGGCGAUGAUACAUAGCCGACCUGAGAGGGUGAUCGGCCACAUUGGGACUGAGACACGGCCCAAACUCCUACGGGAGGCAGCAGUAGGGAAUCUUCGGCAAUGGACGAAAGUCUGACCGAGCAACGCCGCGUGAGUGAAGAAGGUUUUCGGAUCGUAAAACUCUGUUGGUAGAGAAGAACGUUGGUGAGAGUGGAAAGCUCAUCAAGUGACGGUAACUACCCAGAAAGGGACGGCUAACUACGUG
rnacentral:rRNA from 1 species